UUCUCUUCUUGGCUCACUUUUUCUGGCUCAAUUUUCUCAACCUGAUAGUUACAUUUAUUUAGAUUUCUUCUAUAUUAAUUAUGUCCUGCAGGAAACUGUUUACUGUUGUGUUUAAGAGGCAAUGAAUCCAACUGACAAGUGUCCAAUAAGACACAGCUAUGAUUUUGCCCCUAAUCCCUUUCUCAGUGAGAGAAAAGAAUUGUCUUCAGAGGACACAAGUAGUAGCUCAUAGCAAGGGAGGGCAGAGUCCUGAAAGGCAGAAGGAGGAGGAGUCCAUUCCACCACUGCUGGGUUUCCCAGGCAGAAAUAAGCUGAGGGUGCACUGAGCGGGGACAAACCUUAAAUGGAGGAAGAGCCUGGAGUCACAUGAUUGCUCAAUUAGUCUUGAUCUUUCUCCAGUAAAGAGUGGCUAGAAGGCUAUUUACAUGCCUGAUUGUGACAGAAAAAUGUUGUGGCUUGUCAGAAAAUCCAUUCACAGGCAGAGAGAAGACUAUCAACAGAACAACUUUAAAGAGAACUGGUAGGGAGAGUGAAAGCAUUCUCUGCAGGGGGUGUAAUCCAGCUCAUUUAAUCAAUGUAGCUUUACUCCGAUUUCUUACCUUUAGAGUUUAAGGAACUAAAAAGCAAGACCCUCUGGUGAUUCUUCCACUGUGCCUUCUUUCUGGCCUCUUGGAUUCAGCUGGGGCAUUUGUCGAUUGAUUUUAUUUAAGGCACUGUUCUUGACUUGCUUCUUUUGCUAACAUCCCUCUGUUUUCAAUCUUCACCGAACAUCCUUUAUGUCUUACUAAGGAAUUCAGCAUUUCCUGCCUAAACCAUUGUAAAAGUCAUAUUUGUGGAUAUUUUGUGAUAUGAGAAUAUCCAUACAAUUUACCUUCCCUGGUAAGGUCAAAAUUCUCUUCUUAAGAGUUAAUCAUAGGUGAGCAAUCCCCAAAAGGUAAUCACCCAAAAUUUAAAAAUAAAGCAAGAGAAUAUAAAGCCAAAUAAGAUAUCUCUGAUAUUAUUUUCCAACUGUGUACAGGAUCUUAUUGUUGGGCAUUAAGGUCCUUCUAAGCUUGCCCUAACUUAUCUUUCUUAGAUAUUUACGUGGAUAAUAUCCUCUAUGUUCUAGCCAUGCACUAGCUCUAAACUUUCCUCAAAAUAUUAUGUUAGUUUCUCUGCUGGGAGAAAAUUCAGGGAGGCUGAAGUGCAGACAUUCAGUUAGUUAGACAACUGUAGCUCAGUCACUGUCUGGCUGAGCUUCCCACUCUUGGCAGCUGACUUAAUGUUUCUUCACUCUUUACAGAUGGAUAAAAAUUGCAAAUUGUAAGUGUUUAUAUAUGGGUUAAAUGAGAUAAUAUAAUCAGAUAUUUAAACAUAGUGUUUAUUCAAUAAAAAAAACAAGUGUAGUAAUUACCUUAUGAAACUUAUACACACAAAUCCCUCUUCCUGGAGACAUGGGUAAAUCUCAGCUCUAACAUCUUGGGCUUAAGUUUCAGCUUCAGUAUCAUCUCCCCUUUAAAUUAAAUUUCAUUCCUUUAUUCCAAUGAGGAUUUUAACACAGAAUAUUUAUAUUUUACCACAAUUAGAAAAGGACAUUUUAUAGUUCCUACUUAAGAGUGACUCUUUCAAUGGCAUGAAUAAUCUAUUUAGAUUCAUAUUUUCAUAAUGCCUGGCACAAUGUGAAGUCUCAAUAAAUUGAAUUAUCAGGAACUGAUAUUAAUUUGGCAGAUGGUCUAGGAGAAUUUUAAAAGGUGCACAGCACCCUUUUAAACACAGCCUGAGAGAUGCUUGCACUUUUAGAAUCCCUAUGCCUUCCUAGUGUCCCCUGGGACCUCCCCCUGCAGUAGCUUUUGUCUGACCACUGGGCUACCCCACUCAUGGCUCAGCCUCCUCCUUCCAGCAUUUCCCUCUGGACUCCUCUUGGAAGAAACCUCCUGAUGAUUAGCAGCAUGAAGAGCAUAACCGAUAACUGCAGGGAUACAGUUCAGCUGAGGAGGAAAGUGGGCCAAGAUGGAGUGUCCUAUCUAUACCACCCAUCACACAGAACAUUGAAAUGCAUCUAUAUUAGUGGUGAGAAGAGAGGCGGCCUGGGGGUGACCUUGAAAUAAAAAAGAAGCAUAUGGAAAUAAGCCUAGGGCUCUCAAAUUCUGGAUCUAAAAAGCAACAAAGAGAAUCUCAGUGGUUGAUGUGUCGGAAAUAGAAAGUGAAUGAGUUUGAGAUUUUAUAUAUAUAUAUGCAAAUAAUAACAAAUUGUCAGUUUUCUCUGACAAAAGUUUUAAUUCUGCUUCAUGGCUUUAAACAUAUGCAGUAUAUCUAGCUUCGACUUAGAAUAUAGAAAGCUGGAAGGAAUAUUGUUUCCACCCUUACAAUAAACACAACAAAAACAUGCUGGAUUGUCUAUUAAAUUACAACUUUCUUCAACCUACUAGAUUGCUGAGGACAAGAAAACAAACUGAAGAAAAAGAACCUCCAGGGAGACAAGGAGGCAAGCAUUUGUGGGAGAAGAUACAGCUGAUGACAAGAAGUUUGCUAAAUUUCGAGUAAAUAAUUGAGGCCAAGGGUGGGCAAGUGUGAGAGUAUAGAAACCCUCAGCACCCUUUUCUCAUGGACCUCUUGAGAAAUAUGGGAACACAGCGAGACGCAGAAGCAAACUUCCUUUGUGGUGAAAGUGUAAGGGAGAGAACAGUGGUGCCCACAGGCAAAGCUUCACUAAAGUCCUUCACUCCUAUCGCUCCUAUGGUACAAAACAAAAAGCUGGUCCAGGAAGGCUUGCAAAGCUGUUCUUCCCAUGGAAAAUCUAUGGCAGUUGUGGUAAGGGAAGACUGAGGGAGGGAGUCAGAGAGAGGAAGAAAAUAAGGAAGAAGUCUACUUUUGGAGAAAGACAAGAAGCAUCCAGAUUGUUAGACAUUCUUCUGGCCAGACCUACUGAGAAAAGGGUACUGCACCUACUUAAGACUGUGGUGAACCAAACAUUUCUUGGAAGAAAACAGCUUUUUCCCAUCUCUAGUACUUUUCAUUUCAACAAGAAUUUCAUAGAAAAGCAUCCUUUUGAAAGUAUGUUCCUGGCGCAACUGGCAAUAUAUCAUCUCUAUAUUCAAUAUAUAAUUCAAGAUAAAAUCAAAUAUAGGUCAGGAUGAUUAUUUUUGAAAUGUAUACCAAUCAAUGUAUUGGAAUAAAGACAUAACUUCUACCUUUGAUAACCUGGAAAUAUUUUUUGAGACACAUAGUUUUGGAUGUCAAAGGAAGAGAAAAAAUGUUAGAGGCAGCUAUGAGGAUGCGACAAGGAAUCCAGGCCAAGUUUUCAGGCAGGAAUAUGAAAGGGGUGAUUAACGAAUCAUGAGCAGACCGACUUGACUAACCCAUAAAGGUGAUGGCUACUUAACAGGCCUGGAAGCAGAUGAGGUGUAGUCUCAAACCAGCUUAAGUAUUGGGGGGCGAUGGGGACAAUAUUGAGCACAUACUUAUUAAAUAAUAGGAAAGUGUCAGUUAUGCCUUUGGUGGCCAGGGCAAAAAGAGAUUGGCAACAGGGGGAUUUUCAUGAAGCUCUUCUACAAAUGCUAUCUGUGGGUUUGUUCAAAGCUUGAGCUCAAACAAGGUCAUAGAUGUAGAAAGGAGCGCACCUGUGUAAGGGGGAUCUACUGGAGCAUUCAUGCCCCAACCUAACAGUGUGCAAAACACAUUGUGCACUCUCCACAAGAACAGUGACAUGUUUGAAGAAUACUCAUUCAUUUUUUAAAUAUAUUGAUUAUCCUUCAGAGUCACAGUUAGGAAAAUGUAUGCAGUCUUAAUCUUGAGAUCUAAAGACCAGAAGAGUAAAUGCAAAUUUUACUAACGCAAUAUAUUUUGCCAUAAAAUUUACCAUAAAAUGAUCAUUCCACACUCUUCAUCUCAUGUGGAUCAUAUAAGCCAACAUGUUUUUAUCAAAACUCCCAUUAUUAUAUUAUUAUUGACAUUAUUAGCACAAAAAACAGGAUUUGAAAUGGAAAAUAAUAGCACCAAAUGUAUGUAUUCAAAUAAUAUCAUUUACACAGGUAUAGCCAACAGAGGAUGAGAUUAAAGAUCCAUGACAAAAUAAAGUGAAGAAAACAGAAUUAAGAAAUCCUGAUGUACAUAAAGUUAGUGUCUUCUCAAGUUUCUAAGAGAGUUCACUCUGAAAAGCCUGCAAAUGCAAAGGAGCAUUGUAAAGAUUGCAGUGAUGUGGGAUCUCUCAAAGAUACCCAGCUGUAUUAGGGUUCUCCUGCGAAAAUGGAAGAUGCAUACAUAUAAAAUGAGAUUUGGCUCACCUAAUUAUGGAGGCCCAGAAGUCCCACAGCCUGCUUUUUGCAAUCUUGGGAGAAGCAGCAAAACAGAAGGGUAAUUCAGUUUUAGUCUAAAGACCUGAGAAUGGGGGUAAGGUUUAUUUGUGUAAGUCAUAGAGUCCAAAAGCCAGAGAACAAGGAACAGCGAUAUCAGAGGGCAGGAGAAGAUGGAUGUCUCAGCUCAAAAAGAGAGCGCAAACUUGCCCCUCCUUUACAUGUUUGUUCUAUUCUGGCUCAUAAUAGAUUAGUUAAUGUUUGCCAUCAUUGGUGAAGGCAAUCUUCUUCACUCAGUCUUCAAAUACAAAUGCUAAUACCUCCCAGAAAUGCCCUCACAGAUACAUCCAGAGGUAAUAUUUUACCUGCUCUCUGGAUAUCCCUUAGCCCAGUCAAGUGGACACAUACAAUUAGCCAUCAAUGCCAUCUAUGGAACCAAAAUAGAAAUCAGUACGGAAAGAUCAGUGUGAGGCCAUCAGCUGCAAUAAGAAGGGGUAAAAGUCAUAUGCCAAAUGUCCCGGCCCCCAAACUAUGACCAAUGACGCCCUUCUCUCGAGUUGAUCAUCUACAAUAUUAGACAAUGUGGUCAUGAAUAAUAAUUUACUUGUAACAUUUUUAAAUGAAGCUAAUAUGAGAAAAUGGCCAUAAGGAUGUGAUGCACUGUUAACUCUGACAGAAUUAUAAGUUAUUUUACACCUCAAACUAGUAGCUUCUUUGUCUGUUAAUAACAUUUUACCUACUGGACACUGACAUCAUCCAGGAAUUCUUAAUUCACAUUCCAAAUCUUUUAGUAGUGACUUUCAAGUAGCAGGGUUUGUCAUGG
rnacentral:lncRNA from 10 species